GGAUUGCUGUUUGCUGUAAAGUGAUGGGGAGGCCCUGGAUGGUGAUGAUAUUGGAGUCAAAAUCUGAAGAAAGUGAGUAAUGAGCCAACAGCUACUUGGGGAAGAGCAUGUGUUCUAGGCCAGGGAGCAGCAGAUUCAGAGGCCCUGAAACAGGAGCUUGCAGAAGAAACACUGAGGAGCCCAGGGUGCCUGGAGGGACUGUGUCGGCAACGCACAGAGGAGGAGGGGAGGGUAGAUCCUGGAGGGCUCUACUGGGGAAUUUUGAACAGAGAUGGGAUGAUUCUGACUUUUUAAAAAAGUGUACAAUCCAGUGGUUUUUAGUAUAUUUACAGAGUUAUACAACUAUCACAAUUAAUUUGAGAAUAUUUGCAUCAUCCUGAGAAGAAACGUUCUUUGUACAAAGAAGAAACUUAAGAAACUUACCGGCUUUGCAUGGAGAGUAGAUGGAAGGCCCCAUCAGGACAGACAAGGUCUGGUCAGGCUAGGAUGCAGAGACCACUGAGGUGAGGCAGGCCAGGGGCACACCCAGGAACCAGGGAGGAGCAGGCAGGCAGUAUCCAGAGAGAGGUGGUUGACUACAGUUGGUAGUUCAGUGGGCACAUCAUCUUGUUAGGGAGGAGUAGAGAGGACAGUUGGACCUCCAGGCCAGGAGGUGGGGUUUGGCAAGAGAGGGUGCAGGGCUGCAGGCUGAUGGGUGAUUAGUAUCAAGAUAGCCCAACUUCAGCAUGGAGUUGCAGUGAGUCGAGAUCACGCCGCUGCACUCCAGCCUGGGCAACAGAGUGAGACUGUCUCAAAAAAAAGAAAAAAAAAGAUAUGUCUCUGUAAAAAUAUAUCCUCAAGGAAAUCCUCAAAUAUCUUUUAGGGUAGGGAUCUUAGUCUUUUUACUGAUAUGUCAGCAUAUAGAAUGAGAUCAAUGUAUAUUUAUUUGAUUGAUCAGUGAUUAACUUUUUAGUGUUUUUAUGACUGCUAUUGCUACUGUAAUUAAUUCCACAAAUUUAGCAGCUUAAAGCCAUACAGAUUUUAUUGUCUUACAGUUAUGAAGGUCAGAAGUCCAAAUUGGGUGUGUGUGGGCUAAAACCAAGGUUUAGCAGGGCUGUGUUCCUUCUGGAGCUUGUAAUAAGAACUUUGCUUGCCUUUUCCAGCAUUUAGAGGCCACGUACAUUCCCUGAUGCUUGGCCUGCUCUUCUUCUUCAUAGCCAGCGGCAUAACAUCUUCAAAUCUCUCUGACUCUUAUCUCCUACCUUGGUCUUACAAAGACCCUGUGAUUACAUUAGACCUAACUGGAAAAUCCAAGACAAUCUCCUUUUGGAAGAUCCUUACUUUAGUCACCACAAUGUCCCUUUUCCCAUGUGGGUUAAUCUGUUCACAGGUUUUGGAGAUGGAGAUGCGAACACCUUUGGGAGCCCAUUCUACCACAAUGCUUAAUCUCAUUUUCCAAUAUCAUAUUGUAUUAC
rnacentral:lncRNA from 1 species